rnacentral:rRNA from 1 species
GAUGAACGCUGACAGAAUGCUUAACACAUCAGCAAUUGAUUGGUGGCGGACGGGUGAGUAACGCGUAAAGAACUUGCCUCACAGCUAGGGACAACAUUUGGAAACGAAUGCUAAUACCUAAUACUGUGAGAGAGCUUUGCGUCCCAUUAGCUAGUUGGAGAGGUAACGGCGCACCAAGGCGAGGAUGGGUAGCCGGCCUGAGAGGGUGAUCGGGCACAAGGUGACUGAGAAACGGCCCUUACUGCUUCGGGAAGCAGCGGUGGGGAUUAUGGGAAAAUGGGCCAAAGUCUGAUCCAGCAAUUCGGGGUGCAAGAUAAAGUUGUCGGAAUGAAAAGUGCUUUCAGUUGGGAAGCGGUACCAACAGAAGAAGUAACGGCUAACUACGUGCCAGCAGCCGCGGUAAUUC